CUACGGGCCGCACCAGCUGCGAAUAUUUUACAAUGCACGAAAGUGUGAUAAAGCGAACCAAAGUGCUUAUCGUAUAGAUAAGCUUUUCUUCAGGGUAAAAAUCUGGAGGAAUAAGGACUGGGAAAGACCGGUGCCAGCCGCCGCGGUAAUACCGGCAGUUCGAGUGGCAUCCAACUUUAUUGGGUCUAAAACAUCCGUAGCUUACUAUUUAAGUCUAUUGUGAAAUCCGACGUCUCAAGCGUUGGGCUUGCAGGAGAUACUGAAUAGCUAGAGAUCGGUAGGCGUAAGGAGUACGGCGAAGGUAGCGGUAAAAUGUGUUAAUCUUCGUUGGACUAACAAUUUAGCGAAGGCACCUUACGAGGACGAAUCUGACAGUGAGGGAUGAAGGCCAGGGGCGCAAAACGGAUUAGAUACCCUCGUAGUC
rnacentral:rRNA from 1 species